UACAGAGGGUGCGAGCGUUGUCCGGAAUCAUUGGGCGUAAAGAGCGUGUAGGCGGCCACUUAAGUCCUGCGUGAAAUCUUGCGGCUCAACCGCAAGCGGUCGUGGGGAAACUGGGUGGCUAGAGUGCGGGAGAGGAGAGUGGAAUUCCGGGUGUAGCGGUGGAAUGCGUAGAGAUCCGGAAGAACACCAGUGGCGAAGGCGGCCCGCUGGGGCAGUGGCUGACGCUGAGGCGCGACAGCGUGGGGGAGCGAACAGG
rnacentral:rRNA from 1 species